rnacentral:rRNA from 1 species
CCUACGGGAGGCUGCAGUGGGGAAUAUUGCGCAAUGGGCGAAAGCCUGACGCAGCGACGCCGCGUGCGGGAUGAAGGUCUUCGGAUCGUAAACCUCUGUCAGCAGGGAAGAACGGUCACUGUGCUAAUCAGCAGUGAAUUGACGGUACCUGCAAAGGAAGCACCGGCUAACUCCGUGCCAGCAGCCGCGGUAAUACGGAGGGUGCGAGCGUUAAUCGGAAUUACUGGGCGUAAAGCGCUCGUAGGUGGUAUGUCAAGUCAAGGGUGAAAUCACGGCGCUCAACGUGGGAACUGCCUUUGAAACUGGCAACCUGGAGUGUGUGAGAGGAUAGUGGAAUUCCAGGUGUAGGAGUGAAAUCCGUAGAUAUCUGGAGGAACAUCAGUGGCGAAGGCGACUAUCUGGAACAUAACUGACGCUGAGGAGCGAAAGCGUGGGUAGCAAACAGGAUUAGAUACCCGGGUAGUC